rnacentral:rRNA from 1 species
GACGAACGCUGGCGGCGUGCUUAACACAUGCAAGUCGAACGGAAAGGCCCUGCUUUUGUGGGGUGCUCGAGUGGCGAACGGGUGAGUAACACGUGAGUAACCUGCCCUUGACUUUGGGAUAACUUCAGGAAACUGGGGCUAAUACCGGAUAGGAGCUCCUGCUGCAUGGUGGGGGUUGGAAAGUUUCGGCGGUUGGGGAUGGACUCGCGGCUUAUCAGCUUGUUGGUGGGGUAGUGGCUUACCAAGGCUUUGACGGGUAGCCGGCCUGAGCGGGUGACCGGCCACAAUGGGACUGAGAUACGGCCCAGACUCCUACGGGAGGCAGCAGUGGGGAAUAUUGCACAAUGGGCGGAAGCCUGAUGCAGCAACGCCGCGUGCGGGAUGACGGCCUUCGGGUUGUAAACCGCUUUCGCCUGUGACGAAGCGUGAGUGACGGUAAUGGGUAAAGAAGCACCGGCUAACUACGUG